AACUGUAAGUAUAUUCUAAAACUGAGCUUUUCUUUUCCAGUGUUUUUCUGGAGGAAGAGCAAUAAAGUUCGUGGCCACAGAGGUGCUGGUGGGAUGGAUGCGGUUCUGGAUCUGAGCUCUAAUCACAAUUGCAGCAGCUGUACCCAGAGGACCAGUGCUGGAUCCCCACUCUGGGGAAGGCAAUGGCUGUGCACCCUGGAGCUCAUGUUCACUGGGGAUCUGCAGGUAGAGCCGGAGGUGAACUCAAAGCUCUCUACCCUCAAAGUGGAUCUCUGGCAAGAGGCAAGAACAGGUUCCCUGGAUAGAUCAACUGGGUUAGGAAGACUCACGGGGCCAUUUCUACAGGAGAAAACAGAGACUCCAUUUUCUGGGUGUCAUUUCACUUUCCACCUGCCCCAUGGAGCUGUUGCUGCCACAUCCGCAAGAAUGGUGUUCAGGUUUCUGGCACCUGCCAUGCUUAGGAAUGUUCAGCUUCUUAUCUCUGCUCUCUCCAGUCCAGAGAAGAUAAAAAUAGGGCAAGUGAGCCUGCACCAACAUAGUCUAAGCCUUGCUUCUCGGGUUCUCAUGUCUGGAAGAAGAAAAGAUGGCAUAAGCGUAUUUUCCUGCACUAACACAGGCGCGUACACACUCUUGCUCACACACAGCAUUAAGACAUUAGAAGGAUGUGGCUCCAAACAUACAAGUGUCUCUGCUAUUUAUGGAAUCUUCAUCAAAGAGAGCCUGAAUUAUACUGCAUUUUCUUCUGGUUUAUACAUUUUAUGAGCCCAUGGUUUGCUUUUGGGGUAAGACUUCCUAAUUAAUUUAUUUUUCAAUAAGUAGUACAUUCACAUAUUCAAACUCCAAAAUGUGCUAAAAGGUACACAUGGCAAUCGUUUUUCUCUCCUGUCUCUCAUCAAAUUCCAUACCUCUAACAAGUAAUCACUGUUAUUGUUUUCCUGUUUAUUCUUCCAGAAUUU
rnacentral:lncRNA from 1 species